GGGACUGAGACACGGCCCAGACUCCUACGGGAGGCAGCAGUGGGGAAUAUUGCACAAUGGGCGCAAGCCUGAUGCAGCGACGCCGCGUGAGGGAUGACGGCCUUCGGGUUGUAAACCUCUUUCGCCAGGGACGAAGCGCAAGUGACGGUACCUGGAUAAGAAGCACCGGCUAACUACGUGCCAGCAGCCGCGGUAAUACGUAGGGUGCGAGCGUUGUCCGGAAUUAUUGGGCGUAAAGAGCUCGUAGGCGGUUUGUCGCGUCGGCCGUGAAAUCUCCACGCUUAACGUGGAGCGUGCGGUCGAUACGGGCAGACUUGAGUUCGGCAGGGGAGACUGGAAUUCCUGGUGUAGCGGUGAAAUGCGCAGAUAUCAGGAGGAACACCGGUGGCGAAGGCGGGUCUCUGGGCCGAUACUGACGCUGAGGAGCGAAAGCGUGGGGAGCGAACAGGAUUAGAUACCCUGGUAGUCCACGCUGUAAACGUUGGGCGCUAGGUGUGGGCGACAUUCCACGUUGUCCGUGCCGYAGCUAACGCAUUAAGCGCCCCGCCUGGGGAGUACGGCCGCAAGGCUAAAACUCAAAGGAA
rnacentral:rRNA from 1 species